GGCCCGUUUGCGCAAACGUCCCGCAAUAAACUUACCUCUUAUUUUUACAUCAGCUGGACUGGAUAUUGAGUUUUUUGGGGGGACCCUCCGAUUUGUGGAGGCUCCUCUAUCCGAGGGUCUUUCAACCUACCCUCACAUCCCCUAAUUGUGCCAGCCCCUGGACCCACAUAGUCACCUGCAUGUCAGUGACGCUCUUUGACCUGACUAUUAAGAGAGUGAUGCCCUGUUUUUAUAGCUUCCUGUCAUACUUCUGCUUUCGUUGGCUAAGGGGUUCGGCUGGAGUCCAGCCCACGUUCACUAUGUUCCUGCAUCAUAACAGCCAGCGUUUGUGCAGUGGACGAGGGGAGAUCCUCUUGCCUCUGAGACUAUACAGCAGCCCAUAUGGACUGACUUCGACAUGCAAAAGAAGAAAGUUCAUCACCCCAACAUAGGAAGGAAGACAUCUUUCUACUGUACCAGAGACCUCCUGAUUCACUCAGGAUAUACAGGUCCUAAGAGGCUGUGGGUGUGACUUGAGGCCAGGGGUUGAGAAGUCUUAAGAAUAGUCACCAGUCAUCAUA